GCCUGUGAUGUCUGCACCGGGAGAAAACUGAAAGCCUGAGGAUCCUGAAGAAGGUGUCGCUUACGCCUCCGUCAGCUACACCAAGAAUUGUAACAGCAAAGUCAAGGCUGAUGAUGACGAUGAAGGUGAAGCUGUGACGUACAGCACUGUGAGAGUUUCCUCCCCUGGUGCUGAAGCCUCCGUUGAUCC